CCUACGGGUGGCAGCAGUCGGGAAUAUUGCGCAAUGGAGGAAACUCUGACGCAGUGACGCCGCGUAUAGGAAGAAGUUUUUCGGAAUGUAAACUAUUGUCGUUAGGGAAGAGAAAGGACGGUACCUGAGUAAGAAGCACCGGCUAAAUACGUGCCAGCAGCCGCGGUAAUACGUAUGGUGCAAGCGUUAUCCGGAUUUACUGGGUGUAAAGGGAGCGCAGGCGGCACGGCAAGCCUGAUGUGAAAGCCCGCGGCCCAACCGCGGGACUGCAUUGGGAACUACCGGGCUGGAGUGCCGGAGAGGUAGGCGGAAUUCCUAGUGUAGCGGUGAAAUGCGUAGAUAUUAGGAGGAACACCAGUGGCGAAGGCGGCCUACUGGACGGUGACUGACGCUGAGGCUCGAAAGCGUGGGGAGCAAACAGGAUUAGAUACCCCAGUAGUC
rnacentral:rRNA from 1 species